AACUUUCAGCAAUGGAUCACUUGGUUCUGGCAUCGAUGAAGAACGCAGCGAAAUGCGAUAAGUAAUGUGAAUUGCAGAAUUCCAGUGAGUCAUCGAAUCUUUGAACGCACAUUGCGCCCUUUGGUAUUCCGAAGGGCAUGCCUGUUCGAGCGUCAUUAUCACUCCUCGAGCCCCCGGGCUUGGUGUUGGAUGGUCUGGUGGAAGCCUCCGGGCGGCCACCCCUUCUAAAGACAAUGACGGCGGCCUGUUGGAACCCCCGGUACAUUGAGCUUCUUCAUUGAGCACGUAUCGGAUCAAGGGAACCCAGGACCCGGUCUUCUCCCUCUUUAGGGAAACUCCUUUUCAAGGUUGACCUCGGAUCAGGUAGGAAUACCCGCUGAACUUAAGCAUAUCAAUAAGCGGAGGCU
rnacentral:misc_RNA from 1 species